rnacentral:rRNA from 4 species
UGGAAGUAAAAGUCGUAACAAGGUCUCCGUUGGUGAACCAGCGGAGGGAUCAUUACCGAGUUUACAACUCCCAAACCCCUGUGAACAUACCAAUUGUUGCCUCGGCGGAUCAGCCCGCUCCCGGUAAAACGGGACGGCCCGCCAGAGGACCCCUAAACUCUGUUUCUAUAUGUAACUUCUGAGUAAAACCAUAAAUAAAUCAAAACUUUCAACAACGGAUCUCUUGGUUCUGGCAUCGAUGAAGAACGCAGCAAAAUGCGAUAAGUAAUGUGAAUUGCAGAAUUCAGUGAAUCAUCGAAUCUUUGAACGCACAUUGCGCCCGCCAGUAUUCUGGCGGGCAUGCCUGUUCGAGCGUCAUUUCAACCCUCAAGCCCUCGGGUUUGGUGUUGGGGAUCGGCGAGCCCUUGCGGCAAGCCGGCCCCGAAAUCUAGUGGCGGUCUCGCUGCAGCUUCCAUUGCGUAGUAGUAAAACCCUCGCAACUGGUACGCGGCGCGGCCAAGCCGUUAAACCCCCAACUUCUGAAUGUUGACCUCGGAUCAGGUAGGAAUACCCGCUGAACUUAAGCAUAUCAAUAAGCGGAGGA